rnacentral:rRNA from 1 species
CAAUAGCGUAUAUUAAAGUUGUUGCGGUUAAAAAGCUCGUAGUUGGAGUUCUGCCAGGUGCCGCCUGUCCGCCCCAGUGGUGAGUACGUGGCGCGCAUUUGGCCCUUUCAAGGGGAGCGUAUCUGCACUUUAUUGUGUGGUGCGGGAUCCUUGACUUUUACUUUGAGGAAAUAGGAGUGUUCCAAGCAGGCUCUCGUCGUGCACAGCUCAGCAUGGAAUAAUAGCAUUGGACCUCGAUUCUAAGCUGUUGGUUGCCAGAAGCGAGGUAAUGAUGAAGAGGGAUAGUUGGGGGCAUUCGUAUUUAACGGUCAGAGGUGAAAUUCUUGGAUUUGUUAAAGACGGACUACUGCGAAAGCAUCUGCCAUGGAUGUUUUCAUUGA